AACGCGAAGAACCUUACCAGCUCUUGACAUGUCAGGUCGGUUUCCAGAAAUGGAUUCCUCCCAGCAAUGGGCCUGAACACAGGUGCUGCAUGGCUGUCGUCAGCUCGUGUCGUGAGAUGUUGGGUUAAGUCCCGCAACGAGCGCAACCCUCGCCAUUAGUUGCCAUCAUUAAGUUGGGCACUCUAGGGGGACUGCCGGUGAUGAGCCGCGAGGAAGGUGGGGAUGACGUCAAGUCCUCAUGGCCCUUACAGGCUGGGCUACACACGUGCUACAAUGGCGGUGACAAUGGGCAGCGAACCCGCGAGGGGGAGCUAAUCCCAAGAAGCCGUCUCAGUUCAGAUUGCAGUCUGCAACUCGUCUGCGUGAAGGCGGAAUCGCUAGUAAUCGCAGGUCAGCAUACUGCGGUGAAUACGUUCCCGGGCCUUGUACACACCG
rnacentral:rRNA from 1 species